rnacentral:other from 1 species
AAGCACCUGGGAUGUGCGUUAUAGUCUUAUUAAAUUCAACCGACAAAUAUUAUAUGGGAUUCUGAACGUAUUUUUGUGGAUGACGGGCCUCCUUUGAGAGGAUAUCAGAAAUAAAGAUCAAGAAACCCACCUGAGCACGCUCGGGGGUGAAUUUUCUGGACUAGACGGCACCUCGGGGCUUU